AUGAACGCUGGCGGCGUGCCUAAUACAUGCAAGUCGAGCGAACAGACGAGGAGCUUGCUCCCCUGACGUUAGCGGCGGACGGGUGAGUAACACGUGGAUAACCUACCUAUAAGCCUGGGAUAACUUCGGGAAACCGGAGCUAAUACCGGAUAAUAUAUUGAACCGCAUGGUUCCAUAGUGAAAGACGGUUUUGCUGUCACCUAUAGAUGGAUCCGCGCCGCAUUAGCUAGUUGGUAAGGUAACGGCUUACCAAGGCAACGAUGCGUAGCCGACCUGAGAGGGUGAUCGGCCACACUGGAACUGAGACACGGUCCAGACUCCUACGGGAGGCAGCAGUAGGGAAUCUUCCGCAAUGGGCGAAAGCCUGACGGAGCAACGCCGCGUGAGUGAUGAAGGUCUUCGGAUCGUAAAACUCUGUUAUUAGGGAAGAACAAAUGUGUAAGUAACUAUGCACGUCUUGACGGUACCUAAUCAGAAAGCCACGGCUAACUACGUG
rnacentral:rRNA from 1 species